GAUGAACGCUGGCGGCGUGCCUAACACAUGCAAGUCGAGCGAUUUACUUCGGUAAAGAGCGGCGGACGGGUGAGUAACGCGUGGGUAACCUGCCCUGUACACACGGAUAACAUACCGAAAGGUAUGCUAAUACGAGAUAAUAUACUUUUAUCUCAUGGUAGAAGUAUCAAAACUCUGGCGGUACAGGAUGGACCCGCGUCUGAUUAGCUAGUUGGUAAGGUAACGGCUUACCAAGGCGACGAUCAGUAGCCGACCUGAGAGGGUGAUCGGCCACAUUGGAACUGAGACACGGUCCAAACUCCUACGGGAGGCAGCAGUGGGGAAUAUUGCACAAUGGGCGAAAGCCUGAUGCAGCAACGCCGCGUGAGCGAUGAAGGCCUUCGGGUCGUAAAGCUCUGUCCUCAAGGAAGAUAAUGAAGGUACUUGAGGAGGAAGCCCCGGCUAACUACGUGCCAGCAGCCGCCGUAA
rnacentral:rRNA from 1 species